UACGGAGGGAGCUAGCGCUGUUCGGAAUUACUGGGCGUAAAGCGCGCGUAGGCGGUUACUCAAGUCAGAGGUGAAAGCCCGGGGCUCAACCCCGGAACUGCCUUUGAAACUAGGUAGCUAGAAUCUUGGAGAGGUCAGUGGAAUUCCGAGUGUAGAGGUGAAAUUCGUAGAUAUUCGGAAGAACACCAGUGGCGAAGGCGACUGACUGGACAAGUAUUGACGCUGAGGUGCGAAAGCGUGGGGAGCAAACAGG
rnacentral:rRNA from 1 species